GUAUUUCUCUGAUGUAUGUACUCACUCUGCAUUCUAAUGCUUUCACUUUACCAGAAACGACCGAUCUGGACCCAGGUCCUGCAGUCCAAGGAGAUGCCAAACUGAUUGCAGGAACUAUGGCUGCACAAUUACAUUCAGUGCAGCUGUGGAGGAUGGAGACAACGACAUCAUAGAACCACCUGGAGAGAAGUUGUCACCUGUGUCUAUGGAGGCUCAAUGCUCAUCCUUCAGCUCUUGCUCCCUCCAGCCUCCGGUCCAGACAGAGGGGAGCCUCCCAGUCCUAACCACACAGAGGAAGUGUUUUCAUCACUGCUCUCUCUGUGCUACUGGGUUUGGGAGACUCUUCACAUAAUCAGUGGUGUUGGCCUCCAUCUGUAAACAGAAGACAGUCAAGACAAGUCAUUUUCUAAAUAUUUUGAAACUAAUUGUAAUAAAUACGUUGCAUCUUUAACAUCA